rnacentral:sRNA from 1 species
UGGACAACCCUGAGGACUGAAGUCCUCUGUUUAGCCACAGAACAAGUGUGAUGCGCACAGUGAUCCUUCAAGCUUUCCCAAAGGACUGUCAGUGUGUUCUCCUGGGACAGGUUUCAGGAACCUUUUCCCUCCCAGGGGCCACUUUGAAAGUUAGUACA